AUGGUUGUUCCUAAAUCAAAAGGUGACCUUGGUUUUAGGGAUAUGGAGAUUUUUAAUGAUGCAAUGCUUGCUAAAUAAGCCUGGAGUUUACUUGAGAAUCCAGAGAGUCUUUGUGCAAGAGUAUUGAAAGGGAGAUAUUACCCAGAUGGGGAUUUUCUCACCGUUGGGUGUCCACGGGGAGUGUCAAAGACAUGGCGGGUAAUUAUCAUUGGCAGAGAACUGCUCAAAACCGGAUUGAUACGCCGAGUUGGUGAUGGGAGAAGAACAAAAAACUGGGUCGCCGAGUUUGUGCACGUCGGACAAUUUGAUCAUGGGCACAAAGUCUAUGAGACCGAUGGGAAAAUUAAUUGA
rnacentral:rRNA from 1 species